GAUGAACGCUGGCGGCGUGCCUAACACAUGCAAGUCGAGCGAGAAUUUAGUGAUUGGAGACUUCGGUCAAAGAGAUCUAGAGGAAAGCGGCGGACGGGUGAGUAACGCGUGGGCAACCUGCCCUAUACAAAGGGAUAGCCACUGGAAACGGUGAUUAAUACCUUAUAAAGCUACUAAGACACAUGUUUUGGUAGCCAAAGCUCCGGCGGUAUAGGAUGGGCCCGCGUUUGAUUAGCUAGUUGGUGAGGUAACGGCUCACCAAGGCGACGAUCAAUAGCCGACCUGAGAGGGUGAUCGGCCACACUGGAACUGAGACACGGUCCAGACUCCUACGGGAGGCAGCAGUGGGGAAUAUUGCACAAUGGGCGCAAGCCUGAUGCAGCAACGCCGCGUGAGUGAUGAAGGUCUUCGGAUUGUAAAACUCUGUUCUUGGGGAAGAAUAAAAUGACGG
rnacentral:rRNA from 1 species